rnacentral:rRNA from 1 species
AGUUUGAUCCUGGCUCAGGACGAAACGCCUGGCGGCGUGCUUAACACAUGCAAGUCAAGGGGAACGGUUGACUUCGGUUGACCUAGUAUACUGGCGAACGGGUGAGUAACGCGUAGGUAACCUGCCUAUGAGUUUGGGAUAACAUUGCUAACGCGGUGCUAAUACCGGAUAACGCAUCAUUUUUGCAUAUAGAUGAUGUUAAAGCGGGCUUUCGGGCUCGUGCUUAUAGAUGGACCUGCGUCCCAUUAGUUAGUUGGCGGGGUAACGGCCCACCAAGGCGACGAUGGGUAGCCGACCUGAGAGGGUGAUCGGCCACACUGGGACUGAGAUACGGCCCAGACUCCUACGGGAGGCAGCAGUGAGGAAUAUUGCGCAAUGGAGGAAACUCUGACGCAGCAACGCCGCGUGCGGGAUGACGCUUUUAGGAGUGUAAACCGCUGUUAGAAGGGACGAAUAAGAUAGUUUCGAACAGGGACUAUCGAUGACGGUACCUUCAGAGAAAGCCCCGGCUAACUCCGUGCCAGCAGCCGCGGUAAUACGGAGGGGGCGAGCGUUGUCCGGAUUUAUUGGGCGUAAAGGGCGCGCAGGCGGGCUAAUCAGUCUGUGGUGAAAGUUUGCGGCUUAACCGUAAAAUUGCCUUGGAUACUGUUAGUCUUGAGUUCGGAAGAGGAGAGUGGAAUUCCUGGUGUAGCGGUGAAAUGCGUAGAUAUCAGGAAGAACACCGGUGGCGAAGGCGGCUCUCUGGUCCGAAACUGAUGCUGAGGCGCGAAAGUGUGGGUAGCGAACAGGAUUAGAUACCCUGGUAGUCCACACAGUAAACGAUGGAUACUAGGUGUUGGAUGGUAAC